rnacentral:lncRNA from 1 species
GGCAACCAGUUGGGGGUCCACUGCCGCAGUGUGGGAGGUUUGUUCUUUCGCUCUUUGCAAUAAAUCUUGUUACUGCUCACCCUGGGUCCACACUGCUUUUGUGAGUUGUAACACUCACUGGGAAGGUCUGCAGCUUCACUCCUCAAGCCCGGGAGACCGCGAGCCCACCGGGAGAAACGAACAACUCUAGACGCGCCGCCUUAAAAGCGGUAACAUUCACUGCGAAGGUCUGCAGCUUUACUCCUGAGCCAGCGAGACCACGAGCCCACCAGAAGGAAGAAACCCCGAAUACGUCUGAACGUCAGAAGGAACAAACUCCAGAAGCGCCACCUCAAGAGCUGUAACACUCACCGCGAGGGUCCGCGGCUUCAGUCUUGAAGUCAGUGAGACCAAGAACCCACCAAUUCGGGACACAAUACCUAUAAUCCCAGUACUUUAGGAGGCCAGGGCAGGCGGAUCAUCUGAGCUCAGGGGUUGGAGAGGAGCCUGAACAACAUACCGAAACCCCGUCUCUACAAAAAAUACAAAAAUUAACCGGUUGUGGUGGCCGGUGCCGGUAGUUCCAGCUAGUGGGGGACUGCGGAGGUGGGAGCUGAAGCGGGAGGAUCGCUUGAGCCUGGAGGUUGAGGCUGCAGUAAACAGGGAUUGCGUCAGGACACUCCAACCUGGGGAACAGAACGAUGCCCUAAAAGGCUGGCUGAGCUGACUGGAGUCCAAUCUCCUGACUCUCAAUCCUCCACCAUGCCGGAAUCCACUUGCAUUUCUGGCAAGAAGGUUGUUUACGCUCAAGGUCUACAGGGAUGGAAGUGGCACCCAGUGAGAGGGCUCUGCCGAUGGAGCUGUGAAGGCGUCGACCUCAU